rnacentral:rRNA from 1 species
GAUGAACGCUGGCGGCGUGCUUAACACAUGCAAGUCGAACGAUGAAGCCCAGCUUGCUGGGUGGAUUAGUGGCGAACGGGUGAGUAACACGUGAGUAACCUGCCCUUAACUCUGGGAUAAGCCUGGGAAACUGGGUCUAAUACCGGAUAGGAGCGUCCACGGCAUGGUGGGUGUUGGAAAGAUUUAUCGGUUUUGGAUGGACUCGCGGCCUAUCAGCUGGUUGGUGUGGUAAUGGCGCACGAAGGCGACGACGGGUAGCCGGCCUGAGAGGGUGACCGGCCACACUGGGACUGAGACACGGCGCAGACUCCUACGGGAGGCAGCAGUGGGGAAUAUUGCACAAUGGGCGCAAGCCUGAUGCAGCGACGCCGCGUGAGGGAUGACGGCCUUCGGGUUGUAAACCUCUUUCAGUAGGGAAGAAGCGAAAGUGACGGUACCUGCAGAAGAAGCACCGGCUAACUACGUG